UGCAUCACUUAAUUACUAAUUUUAGCUUUAUUUAUGUGUACAUUUGUACAUUUCAAUCAGGUUCACGAGAUGUAAAACUUGUUAUCAGAGUAUUUCAUACAGAAGUCGACACACAGUUUUAUGGUUACAAGGACAUGCAAUAAGCUAUGGAAAGUUCAUGAAAAUAUUUUAACAGCAAUUUUUAAUCAAAUAAAUGAGCAUGAGAAAUCAUGUUUGAUUUGUAAAUUCUGUAUACAAGCUACUAUGAAACAUUUUCCAUCACAAAAAAAUAAAAAGAGAUAAAAAUUACUUAAAGGAUCUUGAAAUCUUGCAAUUGGACAAGUGUUCCACUGUGCCUCCAUUCUAAAUCAUGAAAGUGGAAACUGUGCAGAAGGAAGUUUUACUUUUAUUUAAAGUCCAACUGUUAUUGCUGCUUUUCAAAGAACCUGAAAGCAUAUGAUGAAAUCUUAGAACUAAACAAACAGCUGAAUGGAUAUGUUUAGACCAUUACUGCAGUUAAAAUGCAAAAGAGUUAACUACAACGUUUCUCAAAAUGUUGUGGUUUGCUUUUUUUUGUUUCUAUAUGUACAUAGAGAACUGUACACAAACCAGGAAAUAAAAAAGUUGCUAAAAAAAAAUAAAGAUAAUAGUAUACAGUAUUUACAGUUUAAAUGUCACCUUUUUUUUUUUUUGUUAAUUGGAGCUAAACUGUUACAUGAACAUGCAAUACAUCCACAACUCAAAAUUAAUACCUUUUUUGCAGUGUAAUGUAGUCGUUUAAAAAUAUAAAUCAACUAUAUGUUAAAUCAUUCUUCUCCAUCACUGUUCUUGCUAUCUUCGAGUUUCAAAACAAUGCCUAGGUCAUGACCCUUUUACUUAGGAAACUUCAUCAAGUGAAAAUUUGACCAUUUAUUUCUAAUACAAAUUUGCAGAAUGCAUUCUAUUCACAAGACACUUUAUAGAGAUAUUAUCCUGAAUUGUGUAUGAUGUAUUGUGUAUGACGAAAGCCAGUAUUGCAGGGUCCCAAUUUUGUCAGUAGACUAGUAGAUAUUUUUUACCUUUCUCAUUUUUAAAGAUUUUCAAAUUUCCCUCUUCCUCUCCUCCUUAUUUGCUCAGCCAAAUCCAAAUGGUUAUAAUACUGAUUGUAUUUAUAAAGCUUACAGUCCAGUUGUUAUCAAUACAGAUGUCAAAUACUGUAGCCUUUUCCUAACUGUAAAUCAGGUAUCUAUCUAUAGUGCUUUCUGUAAGCAUUUCUGAAGAAUUACAUUCUAUUCCAUAUAUUGCCACAGUCAAAAUUUGAGUUACAUAAAUACCAGAUUAUCCUCUAAAACCUCAAAAUAUUAAGGACCUUCAAAACUUCUUUGCUUGUAUAAAAGCUAAGCACGUUUCAAACUACUAAAAUCUCCAGCCACAUAAUUUUAAGAGGUUUUAGAUUUUUAGCUCUAAAGGCCUCAUCUGUAUACCUUAUACUGACAAAUAAUCCAGAAACAGAUUAUAUAAUGGUGACAUUAAAUACCUGAAUUCAAUUUAGAAAGUUAGAUCUCAAAUCAAAAUGCUAUUUAUAUCAAAUAUGUAUUUUAUUGAAAAUAUCUCUUGAGUAUUUAUGUCGCCUUAGAAUUGUUUGGUGGUUUGGGUUUUUUUUUUCCAAUUCACAGAAGCACAAAAGGACAUACAAUCCAUUCCCUUUAACAGCUGACAAAUCUUACUAGUAUUCACACACUAACUUCCUAAAACAUUCAGUAACUACAAGAUGAACAAUUAGAAGUGAAAAAAAUGUGUAUUCCUGAAAGAAAAUACUUCUUUAGAUCAUUACUCUGGAGUCUAACUGUUUUUACACCUGCUGUACUGGGAUAACACCCUGAACAGUAGCAUCUUUGCAGAUUUAGAGAUAUCUCUGUGAUUAUAUUUAAACUUAAUGCACAAGAUUAUUUCAAGUAUAAGUCUAGGAAACAAGUGUGGGGAACAGCAUGCUGGUAGGACACAAGCUUUCUCACCUACAAGGCAUCCAAUUGGAUGUACUCAGGUUAAUGUCUACCUUCUAUGACAACUUCAUUUGCACGAAGGAACAUGUAGUUAAGCAGACAAACUAAUGCAGCCCAGCUGAAGAUUUCACUGCUGUAAGAGAGCACAGACUAGUUUUCCUGCUGACCUUAAAGGUUGUGGUGGUGACGACCAAGGUAUGACUAAAUAUCUGACUUCUAAUGCAAUACAAAAUUUCAGCUGCAUUGAAUUCACCUGUACACAAAGAACACUUAUUCCUUCUGAAGCAGCAGCUGAGGAUUUAAACAGUCUUUUCACCUUGGGCUGCUCCCAGAAGGUAUUCUGCCAGUGUGCUGAUGCAGUUAUAUGUUAAAUUCUGGUAACUAAAUAAAAUUAUGUAUGUUUUAGCAUUUAUAUAUGUAACACUCCAUUAUAAUUUAUGAAGAACAUUCAGAAUCUUAUUCUAUCUCAAAUUGCUUGGAAUUACAUUAGGAUGCAGUUGUCAUCCUAACAACUAAUCUUCACAUUUUUCUCUGUAAGUGAAAUACAUAUAUGAUGAAAAAGCAUAUUUCUAGAAACAGAAGAGCAACUGAAAAGAAAGAUUCUUGUGUUCACAAUCGUUUUUCUAAGCCUUAUUAGAGUCACAUACUGGGUCUUUUUUGGCCCUGAUUCAUCCACACUUCAUUACACCCAGGAAUACUAUUGUGUCUGCUUAUGUGGAAUUAUACAAAUGCAGUGUUGAAUGGCUGUGUACAAAACCAUACAGCAUAUUAUGCUCAUGAUAUAAUAUUCAGAUUUAAUGAAGGGAAGGCAUUAUUAGAGUAUGCUUAAUGCAUGAAAUGCAUAAAUUAAAACAGGAAAUAACAAUUAAAUCACUUCUUACAGUUAUUAGAGCUCCCGCUCAAAUGACAUUAUAUAUGCCUUUCCCCACAACAGAAAUCAAAUAAAACUUGUAAGCAAAAAAAAAAAAAAUCAAUGUGCAAUAUGUUGAAGUGGGAACAUUAUUGCCAUUAGACCAAUAAAAACAGUGUACUUCAAAACCAGAAAGUUACUUUACACAAAAUCAGGACUACUUUCUUUGGUCCACGUUGAACGUUCAAAACUGGUUAAAUUAUUGGUUCUCUCAAAAAACUGUCAAAAGCAAACUUAAAAUUAUAUUGCUAGGUACACAGAUUAAUUUCAUAAACUCAGAAUUAACCACAAAAUGAAAGACAAUAAUUAUUUGGAAGAUAUUUUUUCCUGCAAUAUAGAUUGGGGUUUUUUUUGGUCUGGAGAAUAAGUCAGGCCAACUGGAGCAGUGACAAAUGUUCCUUAGCUGUCUCCAAAGAUGACAACCAGAAGACCAGCUGUCUCCAAAGAUGACAACCACCUAAAGUGUAUGUAUACCAGUGCCUACGUAUACACAGCCUGGGGUAAAAACAGGAGGAACUGGAGCUCUACAUCUGGACAGGAAGUUAUGAUAUCAUAGGAAUAACUGAAACAUGAAUGCUUACAUGACCUGAGGAUUGUGAUGGAUAGCUAUAGG
ensembl:lncRNA